rnacentral:misc_RNA from 1 species
CUGGAGCGUCUACUGCACUCUGACGGUCAAAAGCAGGAAGCAAGAGCCAUCUACGCAGACUACGAGACCUGCGCCGUGUUGGAGAUUCCAUAUAACGGAAAUCCACAGUGCAUUCUAUGGACUACGGAUGAAGUCAAAGACAAUGUUCCAAGUAAAUGCACCGAGCAAUUCCGAAAGAACUGCGAUGUAGAAGUUAUGGCCUACGAUAAGGAGUCUUGCAGCCAAGUAUAAUAGGAUGGACCGGAAGAAAUGGCAGCUGAUUUAGGAUACUACGUAGUGCUUUUGUAUGUGUAUU